UACGGAGGGUGCGAGCGUUGUCCGGAAUCACUGGGCGUAAAGAGCUCGUAGGCGGCUUGUCGCGUCGUGUGUGAAAUCUCAGGGCUCAACUCUGACAUUGCAUACGAUACGGGCAGGCUUGAGUUCGGUAGGGGAGACUGGAAUUCCUGGUGUAGCGGUGAAAUGCGCAGAUAUCAGGAGGAACACCGGUGGCGAAGGCGGUUCUCUGGGCAUGUCCUGACGCUGAGGAGCGAAAGUGUGGGGAGCGAACAGG
rnacentral:rRNA from 1 species